rnacentral:rRNA from 1 species
UAGGGAAUCUUCCGCAAUGGACGCAAGUCUGACGGAGCAACGCCGCGUGAGUGAAGAAGGAUUUCGGUUCGUAAAACUCUGUUGUUAGAGAAGAACAGCGCAUAGAGUAACUGUUAUGCGUGUGACGGUAUCUAACCAGAAAGCCACGGCUAACUACGUGCCAGCAGCCGCGGUAAUACGUAGGUGGCAAGCGUUGUCCGGAUUUAUUGGGCGUAAAGCGAGCGCAGGCGGUCAAUUAAGUCUGAUGUGAAAGCCCCCGGCUCAACCGGGGAGGGUCAUUGGAAACUGGUUGACUUGAGUGCAGAAGAGGAGAGUGGAAUUCCAUGUGUAGCGGUGAAAUGCGUAGAUAUAUGGAGGAACACCAGUGCGAAGGCGACUCUCUGGUCUGUAACUGACGCUGAGGCUCGAAAGCGUGGGUAGCAAACAGG